CAUUGGGUUUGUGUCCAGCUUAGGAUAAAUAUGCCAGAUAUGAUACAUUCAACAUGAUUUGUGGUUUCCGUUUCUUGAGAAAUUUCAGUGACAGCACCUUGAAACCUCACCAAGCCAUUAUGCAGAGCAAGGGAGCCAAACCCAGAGCUUUGGGGCCUGUCUAUGACACAAUAGGUGCAAACUCGUACAACCCACGCCCACUCCUACUCCAUCCAAAGUACAGCCACGUUCUUUCCCAACAGUGGCCCGUGGGACUUGGUGAAUCUUCUCCAGGGAAGUGUUAUGCUGCCUGGGAAUUCAUCUUAACCCCAUGAGGGAAAGGCCAGAGAAGAGAGGUUCCAUAUAAUAUGCAAAAGUCCUGCCAAGUGGAGGCGGCCAGGAAUGUUCUUGCCCAACCCAAGACUUUAUAGAGACCAGGACCCUUCUAGGAAGAAUCAAAAAUUAAAUAUAUUGAGAAACGUGAGCCUAAGGCCAUCCCUUACUGAGGACUGUUAGCAGAUGGAUAUAUUGAAAAGCGACGAGGACAGACAAACUUGGCUGCUAGCCAGUCAGUAUAUUAAAAAGACGAAAAUUCAGAACUCUGAAAGGACUGUGUGGGUUUUCCCAUCCCUGAAGUUUGAAGACGUUUGCUGUGCAGGGACAAAGAUUUGCCUGCCACAGCCCUAUGUUUCGAGGGUAUUAACUGGGCUAUGACUCGGCUUGCCGGCUGUGUAAAUGCCCCGGAGCAGAUCAGCGCUCCGUCUAGAGGAGGCUGCCUCAAGUGCCCGGGGUGGGUGCCCACAAGUCCGGGCCUCUGCAGCUGUUGCAGCUCCCCGGUAACAAACAGGGCGCUGGUGGAGGUCCGCGGGCAGCCUGGCCUCAGGCUCUGUCACUUGAGCUCCCUUGUCUCUCCUCCCUUUGCUGGGAGCCCAAGAAUGAGGUGGGGGAGGGGGUCCAAGAGGAAACCAGAACCUCCAGAUUCCUUUUUUACAAAGCAUUGUCCACCAAGCAGGUCACUGGCAGGGCACACAGCUCUGAUCUAACAUUACCCUCCAUUCUAUGUGUCGCCAGCCCACCAAGUCCCCGAAAAACUGGGUAUGAGUACAAAAUUGACCACAAUUCCUUUCAGGUUAAUCAAGAUUAUAAUAUAUAUUUCUAAAGGGGGCAGCCAAACACUUGUCUCUGUCCAUAAAUAGGCAUAUCCUAUAUUCAGUGAUAUAUAUAUAUAUUUAAUGGUAUAUAUUGGGGGAUCAGAAUUUGCCACCCCAAAAUAUGUGCCUUUGGCUUGAUUACUUUUUAAAAACAAAACCCUGUGAAAGAAACUUUGACCUUCUCCCUACCUGCCUAAAAUGAUUUAAGAUGGAAGGCCUGUGCCACGAAGGAGCUAAUACCAUAAGACAUCUACAGUGUAACAUAAACUAGGUGGGAUAGACAGGAGGAACCUAGCAAGGGCCAUUUAAUCAAAGUCCUCUCCGCCUCUCUUGUCUUUACAAGGCAUCGGCAACAUUUUUUAUCAAAUAUUUGUUUUCCCAUCUCCAUGUGAAUUUCCUUCCUCCUCUUUGACAUCACAAACCACUACCCCCAACAUCCUCCUUUGUACUUAGCUGAAGACGACAAUUAAGGUGGUGGCUUCCACCAUUUUAUUACAUUACUGUUUUCCCGGGUUUCUCACUUGUAUACAUGUUAUUAAACUUUGGUUUUUCUCCUGUU